rnacentral:lncRNA from 1 species
AAACAAGCUGCCAAAAUGUAAUGCUUAAUCCCCAGGAAACCCUUACUAAGUCUCCAGCUAUCUUCAUUUCAUUUCCUGUUUCUUCCAGAGAAAUAGUAGAAUUCGGUGAGUUUUCUUAACUUUGAGGGGAGAGAGAUUAGAACAAUGAAAAGAAGGAGGGAAACAGAAUCAGGUUGUAGCUGAUUGCAGUCUGAUUGAUGUUUGGCAAAUUGCAUCUGAGCAAAAAAGUAUUGUGUUUCAUUUUCCCUUUAAAUCAUAUCCACUUGAAAUUCAGAAUUAUCUGCAGUGUUAGAAUCAAAUCUUGAGGCUGUGACUUUGGGAGUCUUAGGGAAAAAGGAAAUUGAUGAAAUUGAUGCUUAGCUUCUCUGUUGGGACACUGACCACACUUCUCAAGGAUGCUCCAUUUGCUUCUCCGGUUUUGCCUUCCUGCAGAGAUGGAGUAUAAUAUGAUGAUGGGAAGCUCAGGUGGGGGAAGUGAAAAUUUCAAAUCAAGUCCCCAGUCCUUAAAGUUUUGACAGCAAAUAAUGGCUCUACAAAACUGUCAUUCUCUUCUGCCCAGCUCUUUCUCUAGACUCUUGAGUUUGGGUGAUGAGAAAGAGUAAUCCUCAUGGUCUUUAAGUUCUGUUUCACAUGAUUACAACACACUCCUGAGACUCAGAUCUGGAUCCAGAGUCAGGAGAAAUUAUAAAACAAAAAUGAACAAGCCAAAGCAAUCCCCAGCUUUUCUGACCUGCAUCCACAACACACAGCACCAAAGGGAUCCCCCAACAGCAACCAAUUUCUUACUCAACCCUCAGGUCCUUAGAAAGCUUUUCAUGAGGCUCAGGGAAUUUGAAAGCAGAUUCUUUAUUAUUGUGAGACUCACUGUGAGUGAUGGGCAGAAAUUAGGUUUCUAAUCAAAAAAACAGCAUUUGUAACCCAAGAGAAGGGAACCAGAGAAUAAGAACAAGACUGUUGCUCAGCCCUCCUCUCCUUGGCAUAGCAUUCAUUAUAAUAAAUACCAAUAUCCAGUGCCCCAUCUCUACACCAAACUAUAGUGUUCUUCUUGGAGAGCCCUCUCAAUAAGUUAAGUUUUCCAUCUUGAAGGUAGAUAACGGUCAUCUAGAUGACAACUUUCCCUUCCUUAUCUCAACUCUGUCCCUGAAUCUUUUGGAUGGGGACUUGGAGCUCAGUUUCCCAUCAGCAGUUCGACUAUUAUUAGCUUCAAAGGGAACUGAGACUCUACUCAACCCCUGGCCUCAUCAAGGGCAUCUUUGUAGUUCUAUGAGCUGCCAGGUCUCUAGGUUGAGACACAAGACUGGGGAGGCAAGGCGCAGAUGUGUGAGUCCAGGCCCCAGGACCAGCCCCAGGCUGGUUACCUGUAAGGCAGUGUCACAAUGUGCUCCUGGGACACCCGACAGAUGUUUUUUGGAACUGGCACCGAACUCUUCGUGGAACCCCGUGAGUUGAUUUUUUCCCCUAUAUUUCUAUGAAUAAUU